GAUGAAGAACGUAGCGAAAUGCGAUACGUAAUGUGAAUUGCAAAUUCAGUGAAUCAUCGAGUCUUUGAACGCACAUUGCGCCCCCUGGUAUUCCGGGGGGCAUGCCUGUCCGAGCGUCAUUACUGCCUCAAGCCCGGCUUGUGUGUUGGGCCCCGUCCUCCGAUCCCGGGGGACGGGCCCGAAAGGCAGCGGCGGCACCGCGUCCGGUCCUCGAGCGUAUGGGGCUUUGUCACCCGCUCUGUAGGCCCGGCCGGCGCUUGCCGAUCAACCCCAAUUUUUUAUAGGUUGACCUCGGAUCAGGUAGGGAUACCCGCUGAACUUAAGCAUAUCAAUAAGCGGAGGA
rnacentral:misc_RNA from 1 species